rnacentral:rRNA from 1 species
UACGUAGGGUGCGAGCGUUGUCCGGAAUUACUGGGCGUAAAGGGCUCGUAGGUGGUUUGUCGCGUCGUCUGUGAAAUUCCGGGGCUUAACUCCGGGCGUGCGGGCGAUACGGGCAUAACUUGAGUACUGUAGGGGUAACUGGAAUUCCUGGUGUAGCGGUGAAAUGCGCAGAUAUCAGGAGGAACACCGAUGGCGAAGGCAGGUUACUGGGCAGUUACUGACGCUGAGGAGCGAAAGCAUGGGUAGCAAACAGGAUUAGAUA